GACGAACCGUCCAAACGUUAUUCGGAAUCACUGGGCUUAAAGGGUGCGUAGGCGGCGCGGUAAGUUGGGUGUGAAAUCCCUCGGCUCAACCGAGGAACUGCGCCCAAAACUGCCGUGCUCGAGGGAGAUAGAGGUGAGCGGAACUUAGGGUGGAGCGGUGAAAUGCGUUGAUAUCCUAAGGAACACCGGUGGCGAAAGCGGCUCACUGGAUCUCUUCUGACGCUGAGGCACGAAAGCUAGGGUAGCGAACGGG
rnacentral:rRNA from 1 species